rnacentral:rRNA from 1 species
UGAGUACGAGAUGCUACGGCAUCGAAGCAGUCUAUGUCAUACUUCCAAGAAAAGCUUGCACUGUCAUAAACAAAGAAUGCCUGUACCAUAACCGACACAGGUGGGUAGGUAGAGUAUACUAAGGGGCGCGAGAUAACUCUCUCUAAGGAACUCGGCAAAAUGACUCCGUAACUUCGGGAGAAGGAGUGCCUUAUUUCUAAGGUUGCAAUAACAAGAUCCAAGCAACUGUUUACCAAAAACACAGGUCUCCGCUAAGUCGUAAGACGAUGUAUGGGGGCUGACGCCUGCCCAGUGCCAGAAGGUUAAAGAAGUUGGUUAGCAUUAGCGAAGCUGAUAACUGAAGCCCUGGUGAACGGCGGCCGUAACUAUAACGGUCCUAAGGUAGCGAAAUUCCUUGUCGGGUAAGUUCCGACCCGCACGAAAGGCGUAAUGAUUUGGAUACUGUCUCGGAGAGGGGCUCGGUGAAAUAGACUUGUCUGUGAAGAUGCGGACUACCUGCACCUGGACAGAAAGACCCUAUGAAGCUUUACUGUAACUUGAGAUUGAAAUUGGACUUUAUUUGCGCAGUAUAGGUGGGAGGCGUUGAGAAUAAUCUUGCGGGAUUGUUGGAGCCAUCAGUGAGAUACCACUCUUGUAAUGUUAGAUUUCUAACUUUGUAUCAUUAUCUGGUCAAAGAACAGUUUCAGGCGGGCAGUUUGACUGGGGCGGUCGCCUCCCAAAGGGUAACGGAGGCGCACAAAGGUUUCCUCUGAACGGGUAGAAAUCGUAUCUAGAGUGUAAAGGCAUAAGGAAGCUUGACUGUGAGACCUACAAGUCGAGCAGGGACGAAAGUCGGUCUUAGUGAUCUGACGGUGCUGAGUGGAAAGGCCGUCACUCAACGGAUAAAAGUUACUCUAAGGAUAACAGGCUGAUCUCCCCCAAGAGUUCACAUCGACGGGGAGGUUUGGCACCUCGAUGUCGGCUCACCGCAUCCUGGGGCGGUAGUCCGUCCCAAGGGUUGGGCUGUUCGCCCAUGGAAGCGGUACGCGAGGUGGGUUCAGAACGUCGUGAGACAGUUCGGUCCAUAUCCGGUGUAGGCGUUAGAAUAUUGAGAGGAGCCUUCUCUAGUACGAGAGGACCGAGAAGGACAUACCUCUGGUGUACCAGUUAUCGUGCCAACGGUAAACGCUGGGUAGCUAUGUAUGGAGUGGAUAACCGCUGAAAGCAUCUAAGUGGGAAGCCCACCUCAAGAUAAGUAUUCU